AAUCUUAUAGUUUAAUUAAAACAUUAAAUUGCAAAUUUAAAAAUGGAACAAACCUAAGAUUU
rnacentral:tRNA from 1 species